GAAAACUGGGUCAAAGACUCCAGGCCAACCUUUUCACAGCUCCAGCCUCUGAGAGGGAAGGCAUUGAACGUGCGUCCCACUUCUCAGGACUGGGAGACUGUUGUUCUGUGUGUCUAGCAGAGGGUGGUGCCCUUUCUGUCUCUCGGUGGCGUGAUUCUCUGCUUCCCUGAGGACACAGGCCUUUGAGCGGUCCUGGCAGACCCGGGGAAAGCAACGUGGCACUUCUGUGGGCCCCACUCUGGUGACUCCACAGAGCCGUGUAGCCCUAAGGGCAGAGACAGGCU
rnacentral:lncRNA from 1 species